AAACUUUCAACAACUUAUCUCUUGGUUCUGGCAUCGAUGAAGAACGCAGCGAAAUGCGAUAAGUAAUGUGAAUUGCAGAAUUCAGUGAAUCAUCGAAUCUUUGAACGCACAUUGCGCCCUCCAGCAUUCUGGCGGGCAUGCCUGUUCGAUCGUCAUUU
rnacentral:rRNA from 1 species